UGAGUGUUCGAGGAAAGCAA
rnacentral:miRNA from 1 species